ACAGCUUCGAGGAAGCUGCUAUCUGCCUGCAAAAGUUGAAGCGACCCUGAAACUGACAACCUUCAUUGGGAGCACUCAGAGGCUGCCCCCCUCCCCUCAUAGGAGCCACAGAGAAGGGAGCUGGAACAAAGCCACCUCUACACUUCCUCCAGGUGCACUGAAUGCUCCUCUGGAGUACUUGGGGCUCAAACUUAUCAUGACUUGUCCAAGGUCAUUCAGCAAGUCCAUAUAAAAACCAGGACUACACAGAUCAGAGCCAGGAUUAGAGCUCAAGAUUCCGAUUCUCAUUCCUAUGGCAUGAUGCCUGUUCUACAGUGGCUAUGAAAUCAUUUGUGGAAAGAUGCUUUUUGGUCAUCUUGCUCCUUGCGUGAUGCGAAGAAGAUACUCAAGAAAGCUUGCUGAGCUGCAACACACUGCAAUAUCUUCCAUGUGAACAUCCCCACCAGAAAGCAACGAAGCCAGAAAUGACCUUCCAAUGGUAUUGAAUCAGUGUUUCCAGUAAUGGUUGACGAAAUCAUUUCCAGGUGCACAGCAAGAUUUUCAGCUCUGGUAAAGAGAGUGAAGAGAUGACCAAAUUAAAGCAUGAAAGUGUUGCAGGUACAGUGAGAAACGGAUGGCUUGAACAGUGGAAUAAACCAAGAUAGAAUGCAAAUAACCUGGAACCCCUAAAACUGCCUGCUGGAUUACCUAAUGCUAGCAGAUUCUGAAACAUCUGUACUAUAUACCUACGGUUUGCAUGCUAUAGACUUAUAGCUCUUUGAAGAAUGACUUGUUGUGCACUGCUGCUAACAAUCAAGUCAUAAAACCGAGAUUAUAGUUUUGAAGCAAAGCAGUGAACUGCAUUAAAAGCAACAAUUAAACUCUAGCAGACUAGAUAAGAUGACAGACCAUUGCAUUCCUAGCCUUUUGUGUAGAUACACUGAAAAUGGGAGUCUAUCCCUUUUUGUAACGA